AGCAGUAGCCGCGGUAAUACGCAGGGUGCGAGCGUUAAUCGGAAUUACUGGGCGUAAAGCGUGCGCAGGCGGUUGUGUAAGACAGGUGUGAAAUCCCCGGGCUUAACCUGGGAACUGCGCUUGUGACUGCACAGCUAGAGUAUGGCAGAGGGGGGUGGAAUUCCACGUGUAGCAGUGAAAUGCGUAGAGAUGUGGAGGAACACCGAUGGCGAAGGCAGCCCCCUGGGCCAAUACUGACGCUCAUGCACGAAAGCGUGGGGAGCAAACAGGAUUAGAUACCCCAGUAGUCCCUGUCUCUUAUAC
rnacentral:rRNA from 1 species